rnacentral:rRNA from 1 species
AGUGAACGCUGGCGGUAGGCCUAACACAUGCAAGCCGAACGGCAGCACAGUAAGAGCUUGCUCUUACGGGUGGCGAGUGGCGGACGGGUGAGGCAUACAUCGGAAUCUACUUUUUCGUGGGGGAUAACGUAGGGAAACUUACGCUAAUACCGCAUACGACCUACGGGUGAAAGCAGUGGAUCUUCGCACCUUGCGCGAUUGAAUGAGCCGAUGUCGGACUAGCUAGUUGGCGGGGUAAAGGCCCACCAAGGCGACGAUCCGUAGCUGGUCUGAGAGGGUGAUCGGCCACACUGGAACUGAGACACGGUCCAGACUCCUACGGGAGGCAGCAGUGGGGAAUAUUGGACAAUGGGCGCAAGCCUGAUCCAGCCAUACCGCGUGGGUGAAGAAGGCCUUCGGGUUGUAAAGCCCUUUUGUUGGGAAAGAAAAGCAGCAGGUUAAUACCCCGCUGUUCUGACGGUACCCAAAGAAUAAGCACCGGCUAACUUCGUG